rnacentral:tRNA from 1 species
GUUAUAGCUCAGCAGGUUAGAGCGUCGGAUUGUGGUUCCGAAGGCCGUGGGUUCGAACCCCAUUAGCCUCCC